rnacentral:lncRNA from 10 species
GCAGCCGGAGUAAGAUGGCGGCGCUGAGGGCUUUGUGCGGCUUCCGGGGCGUCGCGGCCCAGGUGCUGCGGCCUGGGGCUGGAGUCCGAUUGCCGAUUCAGCCCAGCAGAGGUGUUCGGCAGUGGCAGCCAGAUGUGGAAUGGGCACAGCAGUUUGGGGGAGCUGUUAUGUACCCAAGCAAAGAAACAGCCCACUGGAAGCCUCCACCUUGGAAUGGUGAGUGACCAGAGUUGCUGUCCCAACCCACACCCAUCCCUGCCCCCAGCUGAUUUCCUUUUCUUUUUUUGAGACAGGGUUUCCCUCUGUCUCCCUGGCUGGAGUGCAGUGGUGCGAAAGUGGCUCACUGUAGCCUUGAACUUCUGGGCUCAAGGCAACCUUCUGUCUCAGCCUCCCCAGAAAGCCGCAACAACAGGCCUGUGCCACCACAACUGGCUAAUUUUGAAAAUUUUCCUUUUGUAGAGACAGAGUCUUGCUAUGUUGACCAGGCUGGUUUCAAACUCCUGGCC